AAUGCUUGACAGUAAUGGUGGAAUGUGUGUGUGUGGCACUUUAGAGUUUCAAAGUGCUAUCAGGUGUGUCAUCUUACCUCUUCUGCUGCUCACAGGCUUUUGAGGGGUAGAAGGUGCCAAUCCCUGCUGGGCUGAGGCUGAUUUUCGUGGAUGGCUUAUAAGACCCGCUUCAGCACUUUCUGGUUACAAUUCUAGGUUUCCUUACAAGAAAUGGGGAGACUGAUGUUUCUACAAACAUAUUCCACUACCACUGAAUUUUGCAAGAUGCUUCAUCUGCCCAAGUUCUCAUGUCUACAAACAAAUACUCUUAACAUGUGUCAUCUUCUGAAAAGCCCAAGGAACAAAUUAGUAUAUUCUUGGAAAAACUCAUAGACUUAAUAUUUGCAUUUUGCUACCAGUUAUAGGAAACUUGAAAUGAUACAUAAUUUGAUGGGUUUUGGUGGAUUUCUAUAGUACAGUGUUUUAAUUUUCUCAAAUAUUAUUUAGAAGUAAUUUAAUGGAGAAGAAAAAGCACUUUUACCAGAAACCUAAUUUUAUUUUUUAAUUCUUAACAAGGAUGGAUCUAGAAGCUGGUUGCUAGGUUCCAGUGGUGUGGGUGAAGGAACCCCUGCAGGUUCUCUUUUCCUCUCUGUCCUCUUCACAUUCACUCAAUUUUUUUCUUUUUGCACAAAUUGUGUUUAUGACUUGACCACUUCUAACGGAAGUGAACAUCUAAUAAUAAAGAGUCUGAAAGUCUUUCUAACUUAACCAUAUUGGAGAAGUCCCCAAGGCAGGUGAAAUGAUGAUAUGCCAUCUCUGUAACCCUGCACAGUAAAAACAUGGAAAAGAAGAAUGUGACUUAAUCCCCUAACUGGGUCUGCGUCUCAGGCCCCUAUUGUUCUCUCUUAUCUGCUUUAGUUGAUGCGUGGAAACACUCUAGGUCUUAGACACCUUACUUCCAUAAAACUUGAAUGUAAAUUAAUGAGCAUGUCACUUUUAAUCAGAUUCUCAUUUUGCAAAACCUGUUACUUUCCUAGUUUGAUUGUGUUUUCCAGAUAGAUUUGUUUAACAUAGAAGCAAAGGAAUGCCAGCCAGAGACAUUAAAGCUUUCUCAACUGUGGCUGAAGGCCAACAGCAGCCCACUAGAAGGGUGAUACAAACAAAAAACAGAAAAGCCCAGCAAUUGUGUUCCCCACCCCUGCCAGAAUAUAAUGCAAAUUAUUGACCAGCUAUCAAGAUUCAGGAGUGGUUGCUGCAUUCCAAGGAGCUGGCACAAAGGAAAUACUGUGCAUGUGUGUGUGUGUGUGUGUGUGUGUGUGUGUGUUUGCACGCACACUCCCCUUAAUCACAGCAAUCUGGGCCAGAAGGAAUGCAGGGAUGGUUAAGACAGGACCCUAGCAGAGGGAAAGUUAAAACAAGGGUUGGAAAGAUCAUCUGAAGGCUUCAAUUUGGUUCCUGACUUAGGAGGAAAAAAAAAAAAAAAA
rnacentral:lncRNA from 1 species